UGAGAAUGAUUUGGAAGGGUAUCCUAAGGUCCCCAUAACUCCACGGCUGAAAACCAAAAGGGGACCCUAAAUCCUAUUCCUCUCAUUUCUCUCAUCUCUCUUACAAGGUGGCGGCGGUAGCGGCAGGAGAUGGCGGCAUCGGUUUGGAAUUGGUCCAACUAACCAAAACCUCUUCUUCCCCGUUCCACUUCUUAAUGAUUCAAAGGGAAUCGAAUCCCUAAAUUAUCUCCUUCAUCCUCUUCUUUUCCGGCAGCGGCAGCAACAAAAGGGAUGACGGCAAGUCGCCGAUCCGGAGACUACAUCUCUUCUCCUCUAUCUCGUUUCUCCUUAGCGACGGUGGUGCUCUCUCCGGUGACGGUUUCGGUAGCAACGACUUCUUUGGUCUGGGUGUGAAGGACGACCCAUCAUGGUGAUUUCUGGGUCCAACGAGGCGCAUUAGCAUCAACACCAUCUCAAAGUUGUCAUUUCGUCUUUGAAGCGAUCGAUUCGAGGCGAGAGCACACGACUUUGGCUUUUGAAGAUAGAGGAAAGGUGAAGAGAGUCACCCUUUCAAAGUGGUAGCCUCUGACCACGGCGGUGACGCGUGAGGUAUAUAUCAAAUGCCGAUGAUUUUCUGUCUUCAUUGGCUUGAAAGCAUCUACUUAUGGUUUGUGAUUCAUUGGAGUUCCAUUUCAUGGAAGGUUUCAUGAGAAUGUUGAUCAUAUCAUAUAGAAGCAUGGGAUGAAGUGUUAUGCUUAUGCUUUUGAAGAGCAACAACGAAAUUUUUAAUAUGUUUAUCAUAGAGACCCUUGGAACUGAGGAAAAAUCAACAUAAUGGCUGUUUUGUCCUCAUACUUUGAAAGUUGGUGGUUCUGUGGGAGCUUAGUGCCAAAAGCUAAUAAAAUUGGUUGCUUCCCAAAUGAAGUUGUGGUUUGAAGCUGAAAUGCCAAAUACAUUACAGCUCCAUUUGUUGCCACAGCCGCAGCAGGCACAUUAUUUAGUGGAGGUUGUUGUUGAUUGUUAGGUAUAGUGGUUGGUACUAUAAGUAUUAGACUCCCAAAGAAGGACAAUCAAGUAGAACCAAUUUUGAAUGAAUCUGCAGUCUAUCGGAAUGUAUAACCAUGUUAUGGCAUAUAAAUAUUUGCAGCUAUCUUGUAGUUUUUUUUUAUUUUCUGUAAGUUGAUAAUGAAAUUUUUUAUGCUUAUUAACUAGGC